rnacentral:rRNA from 1 species
GGAUAGUUGGGGGCAUUCGUAUUCCGUCGUCAGAGGUGAAAUUCUUGGAUUGCCGGAAGACGAACUAUUGCGAAAGCAUUUGCCAAGGAUGUUUUCAUUGAUCAAGAACGAAGGAAGGGGGAUCGAAAACGAUCAGAUACCGUUGUAGUCUCUUCUGUAAACUAUGCCAAUUGGGGAUUAGCUCAGGAUUUUUAAUGACUGAGUUAGCACCCGAAGAGAAAUCUUUAAAUGAGGUUCGGGGGGGAGUAUGGUCGCAAGGCUGAAACUUAAAGGAAUUGACGGAAGGGCACCACCAGGUGUGGAGCCUGCGGCUUAAUUUGACUCAACACGGGGAAACUCACCAGGUCCAGACACAAUAAGGAUUGACAGAUUGAUAGCUCUUUCUUGAUCUUGUGGUUGGUGGUGCAUGGCCGUUCUUAGUUGGUGGAGUGAUCUGUCUGGUUAAUUCCGAUAACGAACGAGACCUUAACCUGCUAAAUAGACCAGCCGGCUUUGGCUGGCUGCUGUCUUCUUAGAGGGACUAUCAGCGUUUAGCUGAUGGAAGUUUGAGGCAAUAACAGGUCUGUGAUGCCCUUAGAUGUUCUGGGCCGCACGCGCGCUACACUGACAGAGCCAGCGAGUCUACCACCUUGGCCGGAAGGCCUGGGUAAUCUUGUGAAACUCUGUCGCGAUGGGGAUAGAACAUUGCAAUUAUUGUUCUUCAACGAGGAAUACCUAGUAAGCGUGAGUCAUCAGCUCGCGUUGAUUACGUCCCUGCCCUUUGUACACACCGCCCGUCGCUACU